GGAUUGCUAGUUGCUUUCUUAGUUCUUGUUGUCCUAUUGGUACGUUACUUUACUGGGAACACAAAAGAUGAGAAUGGGAACAAAGAAUUCAACGGAAGCAAGACAUAAUCGGAUGAUGUGUUCAAUGGUGUGGUAGGAAUUGUUGCUGCUGCAGUUACAAUUGUAGUUGUCGCUAUUCCUGAAGGCUUGCCUUUAGCUGUUACACUUACUCUGGCUUAUUCGAUGAAAAGAAUGAUGGCAGAUCAGGCAAUGGUAAGGAAGCUCUCUGCGUGUGAGACCAUGGGCUCUGCCACCACAAUUUGUACAGACAAAACAGGUACUCUUACAUUAAAUAAGAUGACUGUCACAAAAUUUUUCUUAGGCAAAGAGCACGUAAAGAAAAAGUCAGUCAUCAAUUUCAGCCAAAGUUCUUGAAUUAUUCCAUCAAGGGGUUGGAUUAAACACUACGUGUAGUGUUUUCAAGUCCUCCGAUUCAGGUUCGAGCUUUGAAUUCUCAGGCAGCCCAACUGAAAAAGCUAUUCUUUCAUGGGUUGUGCUGGACCUGAAUAUGAAUAUGGAUCAAGUCAAGAGAAAUUCAACAUUCUUCACGUGGAAGCUUUCAAUUCGGAGAAAAAGAAGAGUGGCUUAAUAAUCAAGAACAUUACUGAUGGAACAAUUCAUGCACAUUGGAAACGUGCUGCAGAGAUGAUCAAGAAUGUGCUCCCAUUACUACGAUGCAGAAGGGAACAUGAAAACUCUAGAGAAAUCAGACAAGGAAGAAUGUGAUCGCAUAAUUGAAGGAAUGGCUGCCAGCAGCCUUCGAUGUAUUGCCUUUGCACACAAUCAGUUGCCAAACGCUGAGCAGGAGGAUCAUGAACAAAUACAUGGAAGUAUUCCAGACAACCCUUUCAUUCUUUUGGGCUUCAUCGGCCUAAAAGAUCCAUGUCGACCUGGUGUAAAAAAAGCUGUGGAAGAUUGCCAAAAUGCUGGUGUGAAUAUCAAGAUGGUCACUGGUGACAAUGUGUUCACUGCAAAAGCCAUAGCCACAGAAUGUGGGAUUCUUCAUCCCGACGUGGAAGCAGAUGAAGGAGCGGUCAUAGAAGGCGAGAAAUUUCGCAACUUAACAGAUGAUGAACGCAUGGAGAGAGUGGAGAAGAUUGGCGUGAUGGCAAGAUCAUCCCCUUUUGACAAACUUUUAAAGGUGCAGUGCUUGAGAAAGAAAGGUCACAUGGUCGCGGUCACAGGUGAUGGCACGAAUGAUGCACCGGCUAAAGGAAGCAGAUAUAGGACUUUCUAUGGGGAUACAGGGCACUGAAGUGCAAAAGAGAGUUCAGAUAUUGUCAUUUUGGACGAUAAUUUUGCUUCAGUUGCCACUGUUCUGAAAUGGGGAAGGUGCGUCUAUAACAACAUUCAGAAAUUCAUCCAAUUUCAGCUCACAGUAAAUGUGGCUGCACUUGAGAUCAAUUUUGUAGCAGCUGUUUCAGCUGGUGAGGUACCACUCACAGCAGUGCAGUUGCUAUGGGUAAAUUUGAUCAUGGACACAUUAGGGGCACUAGCACUUGCAACAGAGAAACCAACCGAGGAACUCAUGAAGAAGCUACCAGUCGGUAGGACUGAGCCACUUAUCACCAACAUUAUGUGGAGAAAUCUAAUGGCUCAGGCCUUGUAUCAGAUUUUUGUUCUAUUGACCUUCCAAUUUAAAGGAGAAUCAAUCUUUGGCGUCAACACGAGGGUAAAUGUUUGUUCUAUUGACCUUCCAAUUCAAAGGAGAAUCAAUCUUUGGCGUCAACACGAGGGUAAAUGUUUGAUUUUCAACACAUUUGUUCUUUGCCAAGUGUUCAACGAAUGUAAUGUAAUCUGGAGAAGAAGAAUGUUUUCGAGGGAAUACACAAGAACAAGUUGUUUGUGGCAAUCAUUGGAAUCACUUUGGCUCUUCAAGUGGUGAUGGUAGAGUUUCUGAAGAAGUUUGCAGAUACAGAGAGGUUGAAUUGGGGGCAAUGGGGCAUCUGCAUUGGUUUGGCAGCGGCAUCUUGGCCAAUUGGUUGGCUAGUCAAGUGCGUACCUGUCCCAGAGAAACCAGUUUUCAGUUAUGUCAGGUUGAAUUACUUGAAAUCCAUGUUUAAGUGAGUAGAUUUUGUUGUUUUCUUUUUCAUAAUUUGCAGUAGUCUUAGUUUGUUAGUAUGAGUAUAGUUGAUUAAAUGAUUGAUUGAUAUUGCAUUCCUAACUUACCAACAACUUGUAUUUUCAUGUGUUAAUUUUUAAAUAAGGAGUUGUACAGAAUUCUUCUACUACAUUUACAAGACGACUUAAAAAAUUUAUAUAUGCAUACACCUUUCAUUACAUUCUGGUAGUACAAAUAUAGUUUAAGAUAGAAUUCAGUUUGUAAAUAUGUCUAUAGUUCAGUACUUUGUUUACGAGCAGCAACUAAUACUUGCAUUAUGAUAGGCUGUCAAUAUGUCUAAGGUUCAGUACUUUGUUUACGAGCACCAACUAAUACUUGCAUUAGGAUAGGCUGUCUACAUCAAUACCCUUUUGGGUGUGGCCAUUCCCCGACCCUGCAUGAACGCAAGAUGACUUGUGCAACGGGCUGCUCUUUUUUCUCCAGUACUUUGUUCAUGAUUGUAGACACAACAUUCCUUUUGAAAAUGAUAACAAGCUAAAAGUUGUGAAGCUUUCGACUGGGAUUUGUAAUUUGUAUGAACCACAUCAAACUAAUAUGGGGAUCUCCAGAAUACACAAUCCGAUAUAGAAGUUUCAACUCCCUCCAACAUGGAGCUUAAAGAUACGAUUAAUGGCAAGAUACUGAAUAUUAAGAAUAGGUUCUUUUUGAAUUUGAAAGAAUAACAGACCAGUAAGUUUCAUUUCCCAGGAUGAACUAGACAUUUUUCAUCACCGCAAGAAAGAUAUCACAUUCCUUUUGCCGGCCUUUAUAGGACUUUUCAUUAUAUUUUUUUUCCAAUACCAUCCUUCUGAAAAAAAUUUAGCUCAGCUUGACUCAGAGAGAGAUGCACUCAUGCAACAUACAUUUCACACGUAGCACAGAUUUACAUGUAAUAUUACAAUAAUGUCAACACAUAUUAAAUUCUCAAAACCAUAAUUUUAGAAGUGCUACGGGGGUUCAGUAAUAUUAAAAGUUGAUUCUAUCAAGUUUAAAUGUUGGAUCCCCUCUGGCUAAACUUGUGUGUCUAGCCUAGUGUUUCUCCCUUGCCUAUCCACAUUGUCGUGAAGAUAUUCUACAAAUAGUUUUCAGCUCGAUCGCAAGGUUCAAUGGAGAAGAGAUUUUACCUGUUGCAUUUUAGCAAUAUAUUUUCAGCCAGAAGCGGUUUCUACCGCCAGCGAUUUUCUGUCGCUCCUCCUAUAUGACCUAUCAAUGAGGCUUCGAAAUCAUGUUAUUUGCGAGAAGAAUUGGAAUUAAAGCCUUCGUUCCCAAUUUCUUUGCCUUUCUCUUCCUUCUUGGUUCUACAAUUGGGGGCUCCCAUGACAGGGUUACAAGCACGCAGAUCAACUUGAGACUUGAGAGAGCAGAAUUUGGAUUGAACAUGUCAUUUUGGUAUAUAAAUGAAAAUAAAUCACUGAUUCAAAUAAACCUGAAAAUUUGUGAAAAAUAAAAGUUUAAAAGGGGUAACUAAUUAAAAGUAAAGAUCUUGCCCUACUUUGGGGCAGAGAAG
rnacentral:lncRNA from 1 species